UUUAAAGGCAGUGCUUUAAGGCCUGACUUUUAAGUCAUGAGGUUCAUCUUUUCAUACGCAAUCUUUGCAGGGGGUCUUUUGGCCAGAAAUAGACCCGGAAAUGUUCGAAUUUCUCCUCUUCUUUUUAUGGUAUAAUAUGGUUUUUGUUUCUUUCAUUUACAUUGGGGACUAAAGAAACGAUCAGUGUGUAUUGUUCGUUUUAUAGAAAUUGUUAUUAGUGUGUAUUUUGCAUUAUAAACAGUCAACCUGACUACAAACUAUCAUUAUGUGUAUUCCGUGUGGAAAGAGGUCGGGUCAAUUUCGAGUGUUAUCUGACAUCUAAAGAUUCUUUAAUUAGUUCAGACGUUGAUAUAACAAUGAAAAGUCGACUGAACAUGAUUAAUAUUGCAUCUUCUAUAAUUCAAAGCGGAAUUCGGUUUAUGAACGAGAAACCGUAAAAGCGUUUCUAGUUAUGUAUGUUGUCUACGUAUUAUCCUGGUUCCCCGUACUACGUUCCGGGUAUUAGCUAUUUGAUAUAUGUGAUGUGUAAUAUUACGAUCGGGUACCAGCCAAUCUACGUGUGUAUGUGUAUAUGAUUUCCCGCCAAAAUGGCCGAUUUACAGCUAAAAAAAUAGUCCAUAAACGUUCCGUAUAAUGAUAUGCAAAUUCAUGAUUAAUCGUAACUUUUUUUUUAUCUUUGUAUAAUAAAUAUAACAAAAUGGAAACCACAAAAUUGAAAAUAACAUUAUUUUACGAGGAUUUCUCAUAUUUUUCUCACUUCCGGCGCAGUAAUACGUAUGUUUUGAAGAAGCUCGAAGGAUUUGACAAAGUGAAUUGAGAAGGAAACGGAUAGAUAUACGUCCUUGCUAUCAGGGCACAAACCCACUUUAAAGAGACUUGUCUACUGCCAUACCCAUCCUAUUUUCAUGCUCCAUUUGCAAGCAAGAGACUGAAUGGUUUACAAAAUUAAAAAUCAGGACGGUGUCCAAUUAAAACAAAAGAGUCCAAUUAAAACAAAAGAACUAAACUGGAUGAAUAUUGUAGGAGAAAUCUAGAGGAAAGUUUUGAUUUGUGAAAUUGGUUUUCCUGAAAAGUCAUUCAUCCUAGCCUGCAGAAAGGAACUAUAACUGUCCACCACCAACUGACGAGCUAAUGUUGAGCUUCACAUAUGGAAUUACUCAAAUACCAUCAAUGUCUAUGUUUUCAGCACAGAUUUCACAAGUUAUGACAAAGCUGUGCUUUUUUUUAUACCUGUUAAAGAGUUGUAUACUAAAUUUAAUUUUUUUAUCAAUAAAUAUAUAUUGUGUCA